CACGUAGGGGGCGAGCGUUGUCCGGAUUUAUUGGGCGUAAAGAGCUCGUAGGCGGUUUCGUAAGUCGGAUGUGAAAACUCCAGGCUCAACUUGGAGACGCCAUUCGAUACUGCGAUGACUUGAGUCCGGUAGGGGAGUGUGGAAUUCCUGGUGUAGCGGUGAAAUGCGCAGAUAUCAGGAGGAACACCAGCAGCGAAGGCGGCGCUCUGGGCUGGAACUGACGCUGAGGAGCGAAAGCGUGGGUAGCAAACAGG
rnacentral:rRNA from 1 species